GACGAACGCUGGCGGCGUGCUUAACACAUGCAAGUCGAACGGAAAGGCCCUGCUUUUGUGGGGUGCUCGAGUGGCGAACGGGUGAGUAACACGUGAGUAACUUGCCCUUGACUUUGGGAUAACUUCAGGAAACUGGGGCUAAUACCGGAUAGGAGCUCCUGCUGCAUGGUGGGGGUUGGAAAGUUUCGGCGGUUGGGGAUGGACUCGCGGCUUAUCAGCUUGUUGGUGGGGUAGUGGCUUACCAAGGCUUUGACGGGUAGCCGGCCUGAGAGGGUGACCGGCCACAUUGGGACUGAGAUACGGCCCAGACUCCUACGGGAGGCAGCAGUGGGGGAUAUUGCACAAUGGGCGGAAGCCUGAUGCAGCAACGCCGCGUGCGGGAUGACGGCCUUCGGGUUGUAAACCGCUUUCGCCUGUGACGAAGCGUGAGUGACGGUAAUGGGUAAAGAAGCACCGGCUAACUACGUG
rnacentral:rRNA from 1 species